UUAAGCGACUAAGCGUACACGGUGGAUGCCCUGGCAGUCAGAGGCGAUGAAGGACGUGCUAAUCUGCGAUAAGCGUCGGUAAGGUGAUAUGAACCGUUAUAACCGGCGAUUUCCGAAUGGGGAAACCCAGUGUGUUUCGACACACUAUCAUUAACUGAAUCCAUAGGUUAAUGAGGCGAACCGGGGGAACUGAAACAUCUAAGUACCCCGAGGAAAAGAAAUCAACCGAGAUUCCCCCAGUAGCGGCGAGCGAACGGGGAGCAGCCCAGAGCCUGAAUCAGUGUGUGUGUUAGUGGAAGCGUCUGGAAAGGCGCGCGAUACAGGGUGACAGCCCCGUACACAAAAAUGCACAUGCUGUGAGCUCGAUGAGUAGGGCGGGACACGUGGUAUCCUGUCUGAAUAUGGGGGGACCAUCCUCCAAGGCUAAAUACUCCUGACUGACCGAUAGUGAACCAGUACCGUGAGGGAAAGGCGAAAAGAACCCCGGCGAGGGGAGUGAAAAAGAACCUGAAACCGUGUACGUACAAGCAGUGGGAGCACGCUUAGGCGUGUGACUGCGUACCUUUUGUAUAAUGGGUCAGCGACUUAUAUUCUGUAGCAAGGUUAACCGAAUAGGGGAGCCGAAGGGAAACCGAGUCUUAACUGGGCGUUAAGUUGCAGGGUAUAGACCCGAAACCCGGUGAUCUAGCCAUGGGCAGGUUGAAGGUUGGGUAACACUAACUGGAGGACCGAACCGACUAAUGUUGAAAAAUUAGCGGAUGACUUGUGGCUGGGGGUGAAAGGCCAAUCAAACCGGGAGAUAGCUGGUUCUCCCCGAAAGCUAUUUAGGUAGCGCCUCGUGAAUUCAUCUCCGGGGGUAGAGCACUGUUUCGGCAAGGGGGUCAUCCCGACUUACCAACCCGAUGCAAACUGCGAAUACCGGAGAAUGUUAUCACGGGAGACACACGGCGGGUGCUAACGUCCGUCGUGAAGAGGGAAACAACCCAGACCGCCAGCUAAGGUCCCAAAGUCAUGGUUAAGUGGGAAACGAUGUGGGAAGGCCCAGACAGCCAGGAUGUUGGCUUAGAAGCAGCCAUCAUUUAAAGAAAGCGUAAUAGCUCACUGGUCGAGUCGGCCUGCGCGGAAGAUGUAACGGGGCUAAACCAUGCACCGAAGCUGCGGCAGCGACGCUUAUGCGUUGUUGGGUAGGGGAGCGUUCUGUAAGCCUGCGAAGGUGUGCUGUGAGGCAUGCUGGAGGUAUCAGAAGUGCGAAUGCUGACAUAAGUAACGAUAAAGCGGGUGAAAAGCCCGCUCGCCGGAAGACCAAGGGUUCCUGUCCAACGUUAAUCGGGGCAGGGUGAGUCGACCCCUAAGGCGAGGCCGAAAGGCGUAGUCGAUGGGAAACAGGUUAAUAUUCCUGUACUUGGUGUUACUGCGAAGGGGGGACGGAGAAGGCUAUGUUGGCCGGGCGACGGUUGUCCCGGUUUAAGCGUGUAGGCUGGUUUUCCAGGCAAAUCCGGAAAAUCAAGGCUGAGGCGUGAUGACGAGGCACUACGGUGCUGAAGCAACAAAUGCCCUGCUUCCAGGAAAAGCCUCUAAGCAUCAGGUAACAUCAAAUCGUACCCCAAACCGACACAGGUGGUCAGGUAGAGAAUACCAAGGCGCUUGAGAGAACUCGGGUGAAGGAACUAGGCAAAAUGGUGCCGUAACUUCGGGAGAAGGCACGCUGAUAUGUAGGUGAAGCGACUUGCUCGUGGAGCUGAAAUCAGUCGAAGAUACCAGCUGGCUGCAACUGUUUAUUAAAAACACAGCACUGUGCAAACACGAAAGUGGACGUAUACGGUGUGACGCCUGCCCGGUGCCGGAAGGUUAAUUGAUGGGGUUAGCCGCAAGGCGAAGCUCUUGAUCGAAGCCCCGGUAAACGGCGGCCGUAACUAUAACGGUCCUAAGGUAGCGAAAUUCCUUGUCGGGUAAGUUCCGACCUGCACGAAUGGCGUAAUGAUGGCCAGGCUGUCUCCACCCGAGACUCAGUGAAAUUGAACUCGCUGUGAAGAUGCAGUGUACCCGCGGCAAGACGGAAAGACCCCGUGAACCUUUACUAUAGCUUGACACUGAACAUUGAGCCUUGAUGUGUAGGAUAGGUGGGAGGCUUUGAAGUGUGGACGCCAGUCUGCAUGGAGCCGACCUUGAAAUACCACCCUUUAAUGUUUGAUGUUCUAACGUUGACCCGUAAUCCGGGUUGCGGACAGUGUCUGGUGGGUAGUUUGACUGGGGCGGUCUCCUCCUAAAGAGUAACGGAGGAGCACGAAGGUUGGCUAAUCCUGGUCGGACAUCAGGAGGUUAGUGCAAUGGCAUAAGCCAGCUUGACUGCGAGCGUGACGGCGCGAGCAGGUGCGAAAGCAGGUCAUAGUGAUCCGGUGGUUCUGAAUGGAAGGGCCAUCGCUCAACGGAUAAAAGGUACUCCGGGGAUAACAGGCUGAUACCGCCCAAGAGUUCAUAUCGACGGCGGUGUUUGGCACCUCGAUGUCGGCUCAUCACAUCCUGGGGCUGAAGUAGGUCCCAAGGGUAUGGCUGUUCGCCAUUUAAAGUGGUACGCGAGCUGGGUUUAGAACGUCGUGAGACAGUUCGGUCCCUAUCUGCCGUGGGCGCUGGAGAACUGAGGGGGGCUGCUCCUAGUACGAGAGGACCGGAGUGGACGCAUCACUGGUGUUCGGGUUGUCAUGCCAAUGGCACUGCCCGGUAGCUAAAUGCGGAAGAGAUAAGUGCUGAAAGCAUCUAAGCACGAAACUUGCCCCGAGAUGAGUUCUCCCUGAC
rnacentral:rRNA from 1 species